GGCUCUGGAAAAGCAUAAAAAAUGUUUAAGUGUUAAGUACAAAAUGAAACCCAUAUAAAGGCAAAUCGGUUAGAAAAAUAUACCUUAAGUCAAGGGUCAUGAUUUUAAAGUGGUGUGAUGGAAAGCAUAGAGUUUUAAAUCAUAUGUUUUAAGUCACUUAUUGUUUGGGAGACCCUGGGCAAGUGACUUAACUGUUAUGGGUCUCAGUUUCUAUAUAAAAUAGAAAUAAUAUCUUGUGGUCUGUAUGGAAAAUUCUGAGCUUCAAUUUUCCUUUUUUUAAAUGGGGAUAACAAUAUCCCAUCUUACUGGGUUGUUGGGAGAAUUAAAUGAGCUUAUACAUGAAAGCACUUAGCAUUAUGUCUGUUGCAUAAUAAUUAAAUAUGAGUCAGCUAUUACAAUUAAUAGGCUAAUAUAUUUUGUUCAUAGUAUGUAUUAUUCUCUGAAAUUAUCUUUUUUUUUUUGUUUUUUUAAGUUCCAUGAGGCAAGAGCUUUAUGCCUGGUUCACCCCUAGAAUUUAGAAUAAGUGCCUGGUACACAGGCACUAUUUUGGCUCUUUUCUCCAAUACAUCACUGCAGUUACUCUUGACCAUCAUGCUACCAAAUCUGAAAGACAACCCAUCCUCUCUAUUCAGCACCCUGGGUGAAUUCUUUAAAAUUUAAAUCAGAUCUCACUCCCCUGCUUAACACACUUCAAAGGAUAUCUUAGCAUUUAGAAUAAAUCUAAACUCUUUCUCGUGGCUACAUGUCCUGUGUGCUCUGGGCCCUCUGGCCUCAUUAUGUCAGUUUCUAUGUUCCAGUGCCACUGGCUCUGUGUCAGUUCCUAGACCAUGCCAAGCUCUUUCAGCCUCAGGGACUUUGCAUUUGCUGUUCUCUCCACCUAGAAUACUCCUCUCCAAGUUUCUUACAUGGCUGGCUCCUUUUUUUUUUUUUAAUCUUCAUUUAUUUUUGAGAGACAGGCAGAGUGCGAGCCGGGGGAGGGGCAGAGAGAGAGGGAGACACAGAAGCAAGCUCCAGGCUCUGGGCUGUCAGCGCAGAGCCCGAUGUGGGGCUUGAACUCACGAACUGUGAGAUCAUGACCUGAGCUGAAGUUAGAUGCUUAACUGACUGAGCCACCCAGGCACCCCUGGCUCCUUCUAAGUAUAGUAGUUAGCAACACAGAUUUUGAAACCAGAGUGCUUAGGUUCCCAUUUUUGCUCUAUCACUUAACACCUGUAUGAGCCAAGAUACUUAAUCUCUAGAUUGUGCCUCAGAUUCUUCAUCUUUAAAAACAGAGAUAAAAUAUGUACCUCAUUAGGUUGCUGAAUGUAAAGAGUUAAUAUAAGGUGCUUUGAACAGUGCCUAGCAAGCACCACCAUGACCACCAUCUUUCAGCUUAAAUACUGCCUCCUCAGAGACCCUGUUCUUUAUCAGAACACCUAGUACUCAUCACAAUCUGUCAAUAUUUUUUUUGUUGUUGUUUACUGUUUGUACUCCACAAGCGGGGAAUUUGUCUUACUUAACUACUAUAUGCUCAGAACCUAGCACAAUGCCUGAUACAGGUACUCAGUAAGUAUAUGCUGAAUGAUUACAAAAGUAGUUAUAGUAUUAUUAAUAUUUUUUUGCCACCUGUAAGAAAGGUCCAGAGCUGUGCCAAGGCAGCAAAGAGGAGAGCUGGGAUCUGUACCUGGGUUCCAACCACCCAGCUCGGAUGAAUGAUGGUUACAAGGUGUUCUGUAAACAACAACAGGUAUAUCUCUGAUAUUCUCUUCUUCCAGAUGUUAACUCAUCUGUCACAGUUUGCUGACGUUGCAUCUCCUGCUUGAAGCUUCCUCUGCUCAAGCCCACCUUUGGCUUAGUGGAGCUCCCACAGCACUCAGUAUUCAUUUCUUGGCUGAGUCUUAUUUUUAAUGUUUCUGCACUGUUUCUUCCACAUAUCAUCUUAACUGAUGAUGCCCUGCUCUUAACUCAUUUGCACUUCCUCACUGUUCCUGAGCACCUCGUGCACCUCUGGGCCCCCAGAAUGUGCUCAGCACAAGUUUGGAGAGUGACCACUGCUGCCGCCUUUUCAGGAAUCUGGCCUGGGGCAGCUUUGCAUUGUGCCCAUGCUUUCAUGGAAGAGAUGAGGACUCUAGGAGAGGGGGGUCAGCCAGCUGUUCUCUUACCUGAUCUGUUGUGGCUGGCGGUGGCAAAGCUGUAGAGAGUGAAAGGAUCCGCAGGGAGGCCUCCAACUGCUGAGAAGGCAAAAAGAAGUUGGGCACCACAAUGGGUUCCGGGCUAUAAUGGUAGUUAAGGGGCACAGAUACAUUGAAAUCUGCCCCCCUUGCCAGACUGGCAUCUCCACUGGCCUUAGUCAUCCCUACUUGUCCAAUUUAUUCUUGUACAGUAGUGCCUUCUGUCUGGAAGGCCCUGCCCACCCCUAACAAGUUGCAGUCUAUACUUUCUGCAAGGGUCAGUUAAAAUCCUUCCUCUCCUAAUGUUAGACCUCAGUGAUCCCUCCUUCCCCUCAUUAUUUCCCUAGAGCCCUGCAUGAGGCUGGUACGCAGCAACAUUUAAAUGAUACUUGCUGAGGUCCUGCUGACCCACAACUGACCCGUUAGAAGCCAGUCAGACAGGGUUGGGUUGGAAGGUGGCCCCAAGGACAGUGUCUUAGGCUGGAGGGAGAUGCCUGACACUGAAGGAGGCUGGUCCUCCCAGUUGUCCUCUGCCAACAUCCAGGAAUGAGGGCUCUACAUGAGGGGCUGUCUGUGGAUAUAGCUGGUUCACCCAGUCUGCAUCUGAGCCCUAGAAGUCAAGUACCACAUCUUAUACUUUUCCUGGUACUAGAUGUACCCAGUACUGUGCUGAGAACAUGGUGUUUCCAAAAAUAUUUGUUCAAUCAAAGCACUGAUUCAGUUUGGGAGGGGACUACUUUGAUGUUCCAAUUUUUUGUUUCUGUUCAAUAAGCUAAAUAUGGUUCUGGUUCAAAUUGUUUUAUCAUGGUUCUUCCAUGCUAGAAUUUAAGCUCCAAGAGGGCAGAGAUUAUUCGUCUCUUUUUCAGUCAUGUUCCUGUCACCUAGCACAGUACCUGGGACAUAGUAAGUUUUUAAUAAGUAUCUACUGAAUGAAGCGUAUCCUCAAGGCUCCAUUUUGUGUGGGUGGUUCUCCUUUUCCAUGCUCUGCCUGCUCCCCUUAUCUAUUUCCGGAGACACCUACCUUUAUAGCUGGCCUCCUCUUGGAUGUCUUGUAGGCAUAUGUCCAAAAUGGAAAUCUGUACCUUCCUCCAAAACUAUCUGUCUUUAUGUGCUAGUCCCUAUCCAGUCAAUGACAUCACUUACCUAGCAACUUGUAACAGAACUCUCUAAGUCUACUUUGUAUUUGUUUUUCUCUUCCUUGCGCCUAAUUCUGUCCCAUCUAUGAUGUAGAUUAGAUUAGCCAGGCAUAAAAGGCUCUUUAAGAUGUAGCCCUGCCUCACCGCUCACCAUCUCAUGUACCCCUGGACUCUGAGCAGAGUGAACUGCUCCCCACAGGUCAGGCUCUUUCACCUGGCUAUGCCUCUGCAUACACAGUUCACUAUAACUAGAAUUUUCUCGUUUGUUUACAGGAUGUCUAUUCAUCUUUGAGGUCCAGCUCCACUGUCUCUCUUCCCGGGAUACAUCCAGUGUUGUGGCAGCUUCCUCCUCUUGCUCCCUAGCAUUUUGUGCAGGUUUCAUCACAACACCUAGAACAAUAAAUUCUAUCACUGCCUGUCUCCUGCCUCAUGAUAGGAACUUCUUAAGGGAGUGAGUAGAUGUAUGAAAAUGGAACAUCUCUACCUGCAAACAGGAACAGGAACCAGGAAGGAACAGUCUGCUGUGUUCUACCAUCAAAUCCAAAUUAAAUAAGAGAAUACAAAGCUGAUCCUUAAUCUGUCAUUAGAAGCCACGACUCUCUCAAAUCACAGUGGAUUUACGGACUUCAAGCUGUAUUACAAAGCUGUAAUCAUCAAGACAGUAUGGUCCUGGGACAAGAAAAGACACUCAGAUCAAUGGAACAAAAUAGAGAACCCAGAAAUGGACCCACAAAUAUA